AUUGAACGCUGGCGGCAGGCCUAACACAUGCAAGUCGAACGGUAACAGGAAGACGCUUGCUUCUUUGCUGACGAGUGGCGGACGGGUGAGUAAUGUCUGGGAAACUGCCUGAUGGAGGGGGAUAACUACUGGAAACGGUAGCUAAUACCGCAUAACGUCGCAAGACCAAAGAGGGGGACCUUCGGGCCUCUUGCCAUCGGAUGUGCCCAGAUGGGAUUAGCUAGUAGGUGGGGUAACGGCUCACCUAGGCAACGAUCCCUAGCUGGUCUGAGAGGAUGACCAGCCACACUGGAACUGAGACACGGUCCAGACUCCUACGGGAGGCAGCAGUGGGGAAUAUUGCACAAUGGGCGCAAGCCUGAUGCAGCCAUGCCGCGUGUAUGAAGAAGGCCCUCGGGUUGUAAAGUACUUUCAGCGGGGAGGAAGGGAGUAAAGUUAAUACCUUUGCUCAUUGACGUUACCCGCAGAAGAAGCACCGGCUAACUCCGUG
rnacentral:rRNA from 1 species